rnacentral:lncRNA from 1 species
AUGCAAACAAUAAAUCUUUUGAGUGCUGUCUUGACCACCCAGGACAUCUGCAGCUCUCCAGGACUGAAGGAGCAUGGAGGUAACAAGCAGGCUCCAGUCCUGUACCUGAACGCUUCCAGUGCCCAAGAAGGGGAAACAGUUUUGGUUCAAUGUACCAUUGAUGAGCAGUUUCCUGCUACACGCGUGUUUUUCUGCAAGAAUGGGCAGGAGGAGUUCAGCCUGAAAGCCCAGCAUGGGAACAUCAACUACUCUCUGGUCCUGACCAUCACGUCGAGAAGUGCUGGGACAUACACAUGUGGGUAUCAGAAGAAGAACGAGAAAAACUGGGUGAAGAACUCUGCUCUCAGUGCUCCCCGGACCCUUUCUGUGCCAGGUUCAAGUGCUGGUGAGACCACCCAGGACAUCCACAGCUCCCCAGCUCCACAUGCCCAGAUCCCGCACACCCUCCCCAUAGGCAUGGUGCUGGCAGUGGCAGCCGUUGGCCUCGUCCUUCUGGCUGCAGGCAGCUGGUUUGUCAUCAAGAAAGGUGCCUGCAGAGGGAGAUGCCCAAGACUCCACCAUCGCCCACGUUCGACGGAACAGGCCUCCUCCCAUGCAGCAGAUGAGCGACACCACAACGUAUGCCACGGUGACCCGCACCCAGACCCGAUAGCGCUGCCACAGGGGAAGGGCACAGGAGCCUUGUCCACAGCUUCCUUUGCUCUCUUGCAGAGGGCUUGUGCAGCCAUAACGUGGGGUUUGGGGCUGCACUUUCGUCUUUUCUUUUUUUUUUUUUUUUUUUUUUUUUUUUGUCACAGGGAAGGGCUGUGA